rnacentral:rRNA from 1 species
UACGUAGGGGGCAAGCGUUGUCCGGAAUCAUUGGGCGUAAAGCGCGUGUAGGCGGUCCGGUAAGUCGGCUGUGAAAGUCCAGGGCUCAACCCUGGGAUGCCGGUCGAUACUGCCGGACUAGAGUUCGGAAGAGGCGAGUGGAAUUCCCGGUGUAGCGGUGAAAUGCGCAGAUAUCGGGAGGAACACCAACGGCGAAGGCAGCUCGCUGGGACGUUACUGACGCUGAGACGCGAAAGCGUGGGGAGCAAACAGG